rnacentral:misc_RNA from 1 species
AACACUGUUAACCUGCGGUACCUGCGGAAGGAUCAUUACUGCUUGCUUAAGGCUUCUGCGUGGGAAACUAUGCAGUUGUCGAGCUUGCUACCCUUGUCUAUACAUAACCUCUCGUUAUUUCCCUCGGCAGGGCAACCUGCCGCUGGGCUCCAUUAAACCUCUUGUUUACAGAAUUAUCUUCUGACUACACAAAAUAAUCACAACUUUUAGCAACGGAUCU